GACGAACGCUGGCGGCGUGCUUAACACAUGCAAGUCGAACGAUGAAGCUGGAGCUUGCUCCAGUGGAUUAGUGGCGAACGGGUGAGUAACACGUGAGCAAUCUGCCCUUGACUCUGGGAUAACUGCGGGAAACUGUAGCUAAUACCGGAUAUGACACCUCGGGGCAUCCCGAGGUGUGGAAAGAAUUUCGGUCAAGGAUGAGCUCGCGGCCUAUCAGCUUGUUGGUGAGGUAACGGCUCAACAAGGCGACGGAGGGUAGCCGGCCUGAGAGGGUUGCCGGCCACACUGGAACGGAGACACGGUCCAGCGUCCCACGGUGGGCAGCAGGAGGGAAUAUUGCACAAUGGGCGAAAGCCUGAUGCAGCCACGCCGCGUGAGGGAUGACGGCCUUCGGGUUGUAAACCUCUUUUAGUAGGGAAGAAGCGAAAGUGACGGUACCUGCAGAAAAAGCACCGGCUAACUACGUGCCAGCCGCCGCGGUAA
rnacentral:rRNA from 1 species